rfam:Salmo salar isolate Sally breed double haploid chromosome ssa21, whole genome shotgun sequence.
UAUUUUCCAAUUUGUAAGUCGCUCUGGAUAAGAGCGUCUGCUAAAUGACUUAAA